CCUACGGGUGGCUGCAGUGGGGAAUAUUGCGCAAUGGGCGAAAGCCUGACGCAGCGACGCCGCGUGAGGGAUGAAGGUCUUCGGAUCGUAAACCUCUGUCAGCAGGGAAGAACGGUCACUGUGCUAAUCAGCAGUGCAUUGACGGUACCUGCAAAGGAAGCACCGUCUAACUCCGUGCCAGCAGCCGCGGUAAUACGGAGGGUGCGAGCGUUAAUCGGAAUUACUGGGCGUAAAGCUCUCGUAGGCGGUAUGUCAAGUCAAGGGUGAAAUCCCCGCGCUCAACGUGGGAACUGCCUUUGAAACUGGCAAACUGGAGUGUGGGAGAGGAUAGUGGAAUUCCAGGUGUAGGAGUGAAAUCCGUAGAUAUCUGGAGGAACAUCAGUGGCGAAGGCGACUAGCUGGAACAUAACUGACGCUGAGGAGCGAAAGCGUGGGUAGCAAACAGGAUUAGAUACCCUAGUAGUC
rnacentral:rRNA from 1 species